rnacentral:misc_RNA from 1 species
ACAGACCAAGGUCUCUCACAGAUACACAGACUAAAUAAAGGAAAAUCUGCUCUCCUGAUUAAAGCAUUUCAUGAAAUAGAUUUAAAUAUUUUCAUUAAAGCUUUUUGCUUACAUUGUAGAAAAUGAUAAAAUGAAAACAUAUAAACUGUAUAGUCUUUUUGGAGGAAAAAUAGAUUCUAAUCAUUAUCUUGCAUAUAUUACUUGGAUUUACAUUCCAACAUUUGAUUAUGACUCUUAAUGUAAUGCAUUGUUAUUCCUCUUGCACUUCUAUCUUCGUUCAGAUUGCGAUAUGAAUGUACAUUAAUCAUGAUUUGAUCAAAAAUAAAAAUUUCUGUCAAGUAUAAUAAUUUAUCACUAUGACAGAUAAAAUAUCAUUCAAAACAACUGACAUUUUACACCAGAGAAAUCCUACCGGUAUUUGUAUCAAGUUUCUCUGUAUCAUCAUUUUGUUUUUCGCUGAUUCACAGUAUUGUGUAAAUUAAGUUUUUGCUAGGUCAGAUUGCAAACAUCUCGGACCAUAGAUUAACAAGUAUUAAAUAGUUUAAUCUUUUUGCAAGGUGGAUCCUAUCAAGGACAUGUGGCUUCUCUGGCACCUGCAGUGAAAGAAUUGGCUGAACUGGAGAAGAGAGCUCAGACUUCGUUUAUUGAUCUGAAGUACAAAAAGUUUGCCCAGCGUUAGCUUUUUGUUUUCAUGACAUUUUAUUGCUAGAACUUUGACAUUUACUGCAGUCUUUGAUAAAAAAUCAAUACGAAAAAAAAAAAUUCGGGCCAUUUGUAUUCCCCAAAAUGCUUAUGCUUUGUAUAUUACACGUUUUCUGAAGAGAGGUCAAUAAAAUAGUUCUGCCAUCC